GGGGCUGUAGCUCAAUGGCAGAGCACUUGCCUGGCAUGUAUGAGGCACUGGGUUCCAUCUUCAGCACCA
rnacentral:tRNA from 1 species